rnacentral:rRNA from 1 species
CCUACGGGUGGCAGCAGUGGGGAAUAUUGGGCAAUGGAGGCAACUCUGACCCAGCAACGCCGCGUGAAUGAUGAAGGUCUUCGGAUUGUAAAGUUCUGUGAUGGGGGAUGAACACAAUGACGGUACCCCAAUAGCAAGCUACGGCUAACUACGUGCCAGCCGCCGCGGAAAUACGUAGGUGGCAAGCGUUAUCCGGAUUGACUGGGCGGAAGGGGUGCGUAGGUGGUUAAGUAAGUUGGCGGUGUAAUUCCGGGGCUCAACCUCGGCGCUACCGCCAAAACUAUUAGACUAGAGUGCGGGAGGGAGAGGUGGAAUUCCUAGUGUAGCGGUGGAAUGCGUAGAUAUGAGGAGGAACAUCAGGGGCGAAGGCGACUUACUGGACUGUAACUGACGCUGAGGCACGAAAGCGUGGGGAGCAAACAGGAUUAGAUACCCGAGUAGUC